UGUGGCUGUUUGAGGGUGUUAAAGGUAUCAUUGCAAGAUGUUUAUUUUAUUUAUUUAUUUAUUUAUUUUAUUUUCAUCAAGCAUGUAUUUUAUGACAGAUACAAGUGUAAACAUAAUUACAAAUGUAAAGGGUUCCUUUUUUUUAAUUGACCGGCAGUGAUUUUGUCAACGAUUUUUAUGUUCUCCUCCAUUCAUGACAGAUGACACCAAGCUGGCAGGAAUAGCCAACACUCCAGAAGAUAGGCUCAAGUUACAGAAAGAUCUUGACAGACUUGAACAUUGGGCGCUAUCUAACAAAAUGAAAUUCAACAGUGAAAAAAACUUUGGCUGCGGAUAGCUUUAGAAUAUCCAUAAGCUGUCAGUCGUUGCCAUGGUUAUUUGCUGAUGUGAAUCCAGCAGGCACUCUUCUGAAUUUCUCAGAGCUGGGCCCGUCUUAUCUGCUUCCGAACGCUGAGGAAUGUCCUAGCAUGCUUCCUGGCCCCAGCCCUGGCUCCAUGCCCAGACAGGCCGAGGAGGAAGAAAUGCCUCCAGCCCCCAGCUCUGGCUCCAUGCCCAGGCAAACGGAGCAACUAGACCCCUUCCCCUCCCCCAUAGCAUGUGAGACUGAGGAAGGGCAAUUACCAACAGCUGCAGACUGGAGUGACCCUCGCUUCAGGAGAAUUGAUAGGCGGCGGCAACAGAAGGAAGGGAGGGGCAGGCCUGGAUAAGUGCUGAGUCAUGGAGCCACACCCCAUGGCCUAUAUAAAGGAUCUGCUUUCUGGCAUUCUCUGAGUCAGGCAAAGUCUACCUUAUCUUGCUGAAGUCACUUUCUGGUCUCCUGCCUGCCUUGAGAACUUUGCUAGGACUUUGGCAGAACUGCAGAGGCACGCCUGAUUCGGAUUUCCCUGACCCGGCCGUCAGCGGAGGAAUGGGACACGACACUUACCAACAGAAAUUCUGGUUCCCAUUGUGUGUCGUACGUUGAGGACUAUCUGGCUCCUCUUUGACGUCAACUUCAAAAGAAGAUGCUGGCCUGGGUUAAAACCGAAGUAGUAUUAUAACCCAGGGACACUCUCAGAUAUUCACAGCUCUGCUAAAUCACGUCAGAUUUACUUUUUUCCACACUAAGAAUGACACUCAUCCAUUCUCAACUCAAAGAUUUAACCUCAAAAAAAAACACUAUAGAUCCGUGAUGGUGAACCUAUGGCACACAGAGCCCUCUCUGUGGGCACCCUCGCUGUCACCAGCUGCUCUUCUCAGGGGUGAAAUCCAGCAGGUUCUGACAGGUUCUGGAGAACCGGUAGCAGAAAUUUUGAGCAGUUCGGAGAACCGGCAAAUACCACCUCUGGCUGGUCCCAGAAUGGGGAGGGAAUGGGGAUUUUGCAAUAUCCUUCCCCCAGGAAUGGGGAAGGAAUGGGGAUUUUGCAGUAUCCUUCCCCCAGGGAGUGGGCAGGGAAUGGGGAUUUUACAAUAUCCUUCUCCUGAAGAGUGGGGUGGGAAUGGGGAAUUUGCAAUGCCCUUCCCCUAGGAGUAGGGAGAGAAUGGGGAUUUUGCAGGAUCCUUCCCCUGCCACGCCCACCCAGCCACACCAUGCCCACCAAGCUACGCCCACAGAACCAGUAGUAAAAAAAUUUGGAUUUCACCAUUGGCUCUUCUGGUUUCCAGCAUGCACACGCCAUUUUCUGGUCCAUUUUUUGGGGGUUUUUUCGGGCUCUUUUCAGCCUGAAAAACAUCCUGAAAAAGUCCUGAAAACGCCCCCCAAAACAGCCAAAUAACAGGCAUGCGCACCCCGGCCAGCUGGUCUUCGAGUUUCCGGUGUUCCGGCGUGUGCAAAGACCAGCUGGCCAACGUGCAUGCCUUUGCCAGAAACCUGAACACCAGUUGGUCUGCACGCACAUGUGCGCUGGCCAGCUGCUCUUCAGAUUUCCAGGUUUCCGGUCCUCCGGCACAUGCGCCUGCACGGGCAUUCCGGUUUGGGCACUCGAUGCCGAAAAGAUUUGCCAUCACUGCUAUAGAUAUUUCGGGCCAAGGAUCUCCUGAAAGUCUGUUGGUACAUGCAGGUCUCAAAGAAGAAAGGCUGGGUGAAAAUUUCGACACACAAUCACACUAAGGCAGCAGUUCUCAACCUGUGGGUCGUGACCCCAUUGGGGGUCAAAUGACGAUUUUCCAGGGGUCGCCUAAGACCAUCGGAAAUAUGGGUAGUAUACUUGCGAUUCGAAGAAGUUGACUCCACAAGCCAGCUGCAGGCUCUUCAAAUCGCUAGCCUAAUCUGGCUUCAGGCGCGAUAAACUUAAUAGGGGAGGAGUCUCUGCUUUAAUGCCUCCGUCCUCAAGGCAAUCGCAAGCAGUUCAGAUCGCUAGCCAAGACGGCUUCAGGCGCGAUAAAUUCAAAAAAACA